rnacentral:rRNA from 1 species
GCUUACCAUGCAAGUCGAGCGGAUGAAGGUAGCUUGCUACCGGAUUCAGCGGCGGACGGGUGAGUAAUGCUUAGGAAUCUGCCUAUUAGUGGGGGACAACGUUCCGAAAGGAGCGCUAAUACCGCAUACGUCCUACGGGAGAAAGCAGGGGACCUUUGGGCCUUGCGCUAAUAGAUGAGCCUAAGUCGGAUUAGCUAGUUGGUAGGGUAAAGGCCUACCAAGGCGACGAUCUGUAGCGGGUCUGAGAGGAUGAUCCGCCACACUGGGACUGAGACACGGCCCAGACUCCUACGGGAGGCAGCAGUGGGGAAUAUUGGACAAUGGGGGGAACCCUGAUCCAGCCAUGCCGCGUGUGUGAAGAAGGCCUUUUGGUUGUAAAGCACUUUAAGCGAGGAGGAGGCUACCUAGAUUAAUACUUUAGGAUAGUGGACGUUACUCGCAGAAUAAGCACCGGCUAACUCUGUGCCAGCAGCCGCGGUAAUACAGAGGGUGCGAGCGUUAAUCGGAUUUACUGGGCGUAAAGCGUGCGUAGGCGGCCAAUUAAGUCAAAUGUGAAAUCCCCGAGCUUAACUUGGGAAUUGCAUUCGAUACUGGUUGGCUAGAGUAUGGGAGAGGAUGGUAGAAUUCCAGGUGUAGCGGUGAAAUGCGUAGAGAUCUGGAGGAAUACCGAUGGCGAAAGCAG